GACGAACGCUGGCGGCGUGCUAACACAUGCAAGUCGAACGAAGGCUUCGGCCUUAGUGGCGCACGGGUGCGUAACGCGUGGGAAUCUGCCCCUCGGUUCGGAAUAACAGUUAGAAAUGACUGCUAAUACCGGAUGAUGACUUCGGUCCAAAGAUUUAUCGCCGAGGGAUGAGCCCGCGUAAGAUUAGGUAGUUGGUGGGGUAAAGGCCUACCAAGCCGACGAUCUUUAGCUGGUCUGAGAGGAUGAUCAGCCACACUGGGACUGAGACACGGCCCAGACUCCUACGGGAGGCAGCAGUGGGGAAUAUUGGACAAUGGGCGAAAGCCUGAUCCAGCAAUGCCGCGUGAGUGAUGAAGGCCUUAGGGUUGUAAAGCUCUUUUACCAGGGAUGAUAAUGUCAGUACCUGGAAAAUAAGCUCCGGCUAACUCCGUGCCAGCAGCCGCGGUAA
rnacentral:rRNA from 1 species